GUAUACAGCCAUGCCACCUUGAACAAGCCCGACGUCUGAUCCUGGAAGCUAAGCAGGGUCAGGCCUGGUUAGUACUUGGAUGGGAGACCACCUAGGAAGACCAGGUGCUGUAGGCA
rnacentral:rRNA from 1 species